UACGGAGGGGGCUAGCGUUGUUCGGAAUUACUGGGCGUAAAGCGCACGUAGGCGGCUUUGUAAGUUAGAGGUGAAAGCCCGGGGCUCAACCCCGGAAUUGCCUUUAAGACUGCAUCGCUAGAAUUGUGGAGAGGUAAGUGGAAUUCCGAGUGUAGAGGUGAAAUUCGUAGAUAUUCGGAAGAACACCAGUGGCGAAGGCGACUUACUGGACACAUAUUGACGCUGAGGCGCGAAAGCCAGGGGAGCAAACGGG
rnacentral:rRNA from 1 species